GCCAGGCACGGUGGUGCAUACCUGUAAUCCCAGCACCUCGAGAGGCUGAGGCAGGAGGAUUGCAGGUUCAAAGCCAGCCUCAGCAACAGUGAGGUGCUAAGCCACUUGGUGAGACCCUGUCUCUU
rnacentral:sRNA from 1 species